UCGUCAUUUAUUGUCCAUUUU
rnacentral:piRNA from 1 species